GUCGACUUUCUCUUUAUAUAUGAAAAAGUCGUCACCUAAUAAUACUACUUUUACCCUAUAAAUAACUCAAAAUAAUCAGUACUAAGCAUAAUUCAGGAAGCAUGGCUAAUAGCAAAGUUAGCAUCCUUACUCUCCUCCUAAUCUGCGGUAUGGUUACUGAUCUGUGCACUUUUUUGUAACUUAUAUUGGCUGAAUUUUGACACUUCUAUAAUGGCCAAGUGUUUUAUCAUUGUGAAACAAUAUUCCAAAAAUACUGUAAUAUAGAUCUUAUGAUUUUAGUUAAGCAGGCAUCUGUAAAUAUUGUGUGUUUUGAUAAAGAGAAGCAUCGAAGAAGUUACUUGUGCAUAUAAAGUAUUAAGGUUUUAGACAAAUUUUUACAUGCCUGCAGUUCAAUUUAUUGAUCAUUUUCUUUCUGGGCUUUUUUUUUCUUUAAUUAUUAAGCUUUUCCACUGGUAAGUUAAUCUUUUCUUCAUUUGUUUGUGGAUUUUGACGCGUUGUUGCAAUUCUUUAAGUUAUGCCAUUAAGUUGUAGCAUGAUAUAUACAUGAUUUUAUUACUACUGCUUAUUGAAUUUUCUUGGAAUUUUCUUUGAUCAUGCUUUAUACGCAAUACUAAAGAAGACCGAGAUGAACAAUAGGUUUGAUUUCUAUAUUAUGUUUUUCAUUCUAUGACAGGAUUGUUUUUCUUGGGAAGCAAUGUGCAAUAUGCAGAAGCCCAAAGGAAAAUUUGCCCACAAGUUUGCCUCAAAGUUGGCUACAUGACUUGCCCAAAAUCUGGCCCUAAGAAGCUUCAUCCAGGCUGCACAAACUGUUGCAAAGUAAAGAAGGGUUGCAAACUUUACAGAUCUAAUGGAAGCCUAAUUUGUACUGGAAAGUAAUUGGAUAUGAGAUAAAUCUUAAAUAAAAUGUCAUAUGUUUAUGCUAUAAACAGGCAAAAUAAAUAAAUGAAUCCCUUAUGUUUCUGAGAAAUAAAUACAAGAUUCAGGUUUAAUUAUAUUGAUGGACGUUUCUAUGAAAUUAUCCUUUACAUAAUUACUUCUAGAAGUUUAUUAGGUGAGACUUAGUUGUCGUAUACUCUUAUAUUCAUCUACUAGCCACCCACCGCCACGGACCUUGUGUGUAAUCAAAA
rnacentral:lncRNA from 1 species